CAGUCAUUUGUUUUAGUCUUGAGAAUUCUUUAAAAGAAAAUAUCUCCCUUUGCUUUGAACUUUGAGCAUCGUAACUUUGCAGAUGUUGUUUAUGCUCUAAAAGCAACAUUACACUAACUAAAGUUUAAAAAGUGAAAUCAUGAUCAACCACCCCUUUAAGAAGAAAUUUGGUUCCUUUAAGAACUAGUCACUGAAAAGUUCUUUGGGGAACCAAAAUUGGUUCUUCUCAUACAUCACUGUGAAAACCUUGUUUUAAAACCUUUAUUUUUAAGAACUAGAACUAAAUAGCUAGAAUCAAUAAAGUACACGAGUUUUAUAUAUUUAUAUAUUCUUCUUAGAACAGACUCAAUAGGUCUUUGAAAAAAGACUCUUCUCAAGGACUCAUCGUGUAUUCUUAACCAUGAAGGUUUAGGGUAAUAUCUUCCCAAAGGAGGAAAAUUAUUCCCGCGACUUAAAAGACAAAAUGGGAGAAAACUGCAAAGCUUAACCACCCAGCAGUGUUUAAGAUGUGUGCGGUCGUCACGGCCAGGAAAGGCCGAGAGAGAUAGAAACGCUUCAGAGCUGAACUGAGCUGCUGUUUCCACCACAGUGUGCCGUUUCUACAAUGGUAAACAGGCAAAGUUAAACAGCACUAUUAAUUAGGCUAAUAUGAAUAUGAUCACUGCCAGGGAAAUUCAAUUCUCUCAGCCCUAAUCACAACUGGAUAGCUUGUAAAAAUUAUUUUGUUAGGCCCUGGUGCAAACAGCGCGGCCUUUUCCAAACAUUUGAGAACUAUUUGUUUUGCAUGGCGAUUAGCGUUUGCUCGUAGCGAGUGAGCGCGGGAAGCGGAGGGCAGCGAUAACCGUUGAGAGACGGGAACGCGCCAGACUCCCGCGGGAACGGCUGACUCAGGAUGUAAUAUGGUGGCAGCCUUGUCUCCUGUUGUGAAGCAGAUGUUGCCCUCUGUUUUUACCCACCUCUGCACCCUUUAUGCCAUGCCAAGCCCCCAGUAUCAAUGGUGCCAUGCUAAGUGAGGGACACAAUGGAUAUGUAAAAAUUCAGCAGAAUACAGGUUUGAUAGUGUGUCCUUUCUCUCCAUCAUUUAACCUCCCGGUCACAACAGAAGAACAGAGGGUGCUGGGAAAGGAGGGGUGAGUGAGGGACUGGGAGAAGGGGCCACUGGUCGCCAGACGCCCAGAGUCUGACACUCCUUCAACUUGAACCCCCCUCUUGCCAAGUCUGUGUUUACCCGCACCAAACAAUAGGCCUGCUAUUGGCAAUUAAAUGGCAUUUGGA